GAUGAACGCUGGCGGCGUGCCUAAUACAUGCAAGUCGAGCGAACAGACGAGGAGCUUGCUCCUCUGACGUUAGCGGCGGACGGGUGAGUAACACGUGGAUAAUCUACCUAUAAGACUGGGAUAACUUCGGGAAACCGGAGCUAAUACCGGAUAAUAUAUUGAACCGCAUGGUUCAAUAGUGAAAGACGGUUUUGCUGUCACUUAUAGAUGGAUCCGCGCCGCAUUAGCUAGUUGGUAAGGUAACGGCUUACCAAGGCAACGAUGCGUAGCCGACCUGAGAGGGUGAUCGGCGACACUGGAGCUGGGACACGGUCCAGACUCCUACGGGAGGCAGCAGUAGGGAAUCUUCCGCAAUGGGCGAAAGCCUGACGGAGCGACGCCGCGUGGGUGAUGAAGGUCUUCGGAUCGUAAAACUCUGUUAUUAGGGAAGAACAAAUGUGUAAGUAACUAUGCACGUCUUGACGGUACCUAAUCAGAAAGCCACGGCUAACUACGUG
rnacentral:rRNA from 1 species